UGGCUCUCAGUCCAACACAAGUGAGGUUUUCUUGUCAAGCUUCACUGAAAUCACACUUUGAAGGGUCAUGAUUUUCUUUUUUUGUUUUGUUGUGAUUUUUUAUUUUAUUUUAAAGAAGAUCGCAAAAACAAAGCAGAAAAGGAAAGCCCAAAGACAGAAGAAAGAUAUUUAAACAAUGGAGGAGAAAUAUUGGAAUCCCUGGAACUCACCCCCAUCAGAGUAUGCCUCCUGGAAGUCUUGUAUCUCCACCAUUAAAGUGCUCUGGAAGAAAUUACAAAGAUUUUCCACACCAGAAGUCCAAAAGUCAAGCUACAUUCAAAAAGAGAAACAACAAAUUGGAUACCCAAGUUCUGAAGAGCCAGAAAUCCUUUAAAGGAUAGGACAUGUGCAGAUGAAACCUAACUAUUAAAAAUUUUCUGCAGAAAAAAA